GGGGUCCUGAGCAGCAAGGUUGGCAUGGACUACAGAAACUGCAUCCUGAGACCUGGUGGCUCUGAGGAUGCCAGCGCCAUGUUGAAGCUCUUCCUGGGCCGCGACCCCAAGCAGGACGCCUUCCUCCUGAGCAAGGGGCUGCAGGUGGAGGGCUGCGAGCCACAGGCCUGCUGACGGCACCCCAGGGUGCCACGGGGCCCGGCCACGCUGCCUACAUCCAGCCUGGUCCAACCAGGCUCCAGCUGCCCUGGUGCCUUAGUCCGCCGCCCAGAACGGGGCCUCCAGCACAGUGCUGCUCCCUGCGUAGGACACAGCGAGGGACGGGGGCUGUGUCUCCUCCCUUGUCAUCGUUCACAUCCUGUCCCCAAAAACCCCCCAUCUGGAGACCAGCCCAGACUCAAACAGUGUCAUCCUUGAGGUGUCUGGAGAGCUCCCGCGUGUCAUCCUUGAGGUGUCUGGAGAGCUCCCGCGUGCGUCCAGGGUAUUGUCCUUGUUGCACUAACAUGUCCCCUCCCAGGGAAACAGUCCUGGUCACAUGGUGGUCGUUCUUUGAAACGCAGCCAUUAAAAAGUACAGAACACGU